CCGGGCGCCUUGUUCGGGUCCGGUGGGACAUAGAGGGCGCCGGCUCUCCGUUACCGGCGCAGCUCAUGCCCAGAUCGCUUCACGAGGAGGAUUUGGUGAUGAGAA
rfam:Sphingomonas sanxanigenens NX02, complete genome.